rnacentral:rRNA from 1 species
GUCGGGCGGACCCGCCGAGGAAACUGAAG